UGCCUUAAAAUUAAAAGUGGAAAAGAAGGACGUCGAAAUGGGAAUAUGGGCGAUGCAGGCACAAAUAUGGAGAUUUGUCUGUUUGGUGUCGACUGUAAUAGGACUAGUCUGUUAUGCUAUCAGCUCCUCCUUCAACCUUUCUAUUUGGAAAGUGGAACCUGCUAAAAAUACUGUCUUACAGUCACAAUCUGCUUAGCGGUUUGGUUUGCUAAGGUAUGCCAACAUUCACACUCAACAAAUCUCAUGUGCAAAGCUCAUCUGUCAGUUGUAAUUUCGUUUCAUUUGCUAUGAUGUCUCUCAGCUUGUCCAGACAGACUCACCUGGGAUUUGAAGUGGAUCUCUUGUAUUUCUUCCUAGGUGGUUUUAUCUUACAACUCGUGAAGAUCAAAUUGUUGUUAGGCAUUGUUGGACACAUGCAUUGAACAGAAUCCGAUGCAAAGAUUGGGGGCAUACAUGUUUGAAGCACUUGUUGCACGAUUGGCUAACACAGGGACUACAAUCUACAAAGCUUUGAAGUGCUACGAAGCAGCAAAUGCGGAGGGCCUCUCCAGUUACAUGCACAUGCUUCAUCAAAUUAGGAUACACAUGUGCAAAUAGAGCCAUUGCACAAGCUGAGUAGGAGUGCUCAAGAUUUGGGUAUUUACUAGCAUUAAGAGAGAUUUGGUUGCUUCUAGCGCAUGGACCGUGUUAAAUGAGUGACAAGAUUAGAACCGGGCUUUAGAAGGAGGACAAAUUAAGCACAACCUGUCAUUGUUCUAAUUCUAAUAUUUUCUUUUCCAUUAAUAUGGAAAAGGCUGCAAUAAAUAUGUUCAGAAGCUUCUCCGGUGA